rnacentral:rRNA from 1 species
UACGUAGGGUGCAAGCGUUGUCCGGAAUUAUUGGGCGUAAAGAGCUCGUAGGCGGUUCGGUAAGUCGGAUGUGAAAACCCCAGGCUCAACCUGGGGACGCCAUUCGAUACUGCUGUGACUUGAGUUCGGUAGGGGAGCACGGAAUUCCUGGUGUAGCGGUGAAAUGCGCAGAUAUCAGGAGGAACACCGGUGGCGAAGGCGGUGCUCUGGGCCGAAACUGACGCUGAGGAGCGAAAGCGUGGGUAGCAAACAGG